UACGGAGGGAGCUAGCGUUGUUCGGAUAUACUGGGCGUAAAGCGCACGUAGGCGGCGCAGCAAGUCAGGGGUGAAAUCCCGGAGCUCAACUCCGGAACUGCCUUUGAAACUGCAGUGCUAGAAUCCUGGAGAGGCGAGUGGAAUUCCGAGUGUAGAGGUGAAAUUCGUAGAUAUUCGGAAGAACACCAGUGGCGAAGGCGACUCGCUGGACAGGUAUUGACGCUGAGGUGCGAAAGCGUGGGGAGCGAACAGG
rnacentral:rRNA from 1 species